rnacentral:rRNA from 10 species
GCUCCCAACGCGACCCCAGGUCAGGCGGGACUACCCGCUGAGUU